UAAGACGAACCGUGCGAACGUUGUUCGGAAUCACUGGGCUUAAAGGGCGCGUAGGCGGGCCGGCAAGUCGGGGGUGAAAUCCUCCAGCUCAACUGGAGAACUGCUUCCGAUACUGCCGGUCUCGAGUGGGGUAGGGGCACGCGGAACGACGGGUGGAGCGGUGAAAUGCGUUGAUAUCCGUCGGAACUCCGGUGGCGAAGGCGGCGUGCUGGACCUCGACUGACGCUGAGGCGCGAAAGCCAGGGGAGCGAACGGGAUUAGAUACCCCGGUAGUCCUGGCCCUAAACGUUGGGGACUAGGUAGUGGACUUCACAUGGGUUCACUGCCGGAGCAAAAGUGUUAAGUCCCCCGCCUGGGGAGUAUGGUCGCAAGGCUG
rnacentral:rRNA from 1 species